rnacentral:rRNA from 1 species
UUGACGGGGCCCGCACAAGCGGCGGAGCAUGCGAUUAAUUCGAUGCAACGCGAAGAACCUUACCAAGGCUUGACAUACACCGGUAACGCCCAGAGAUGGGUGCCCCUUUGUGGUCGGUGUACAGGUGGUGCAUGGUUGUCGUCAGCUCGUGUCGUGAGAUGUUGGGUUAAGUCCCGCAACGAGCGCAACCCUCGUCCUAUGUUGCCAGCGGGUCAUGCCGGGGACUCAUGGGAGACUGCCGGGGUCAACUCGGAGGAAGGUGGGAUGACGUCAAAUCAUCAUGCCCCUUAUGUCUUGGGCUUCACGCAUGCUACAAUGGCCGGUACAAAGGGCUGCGAUACCGCGAGGUGGAGCGAAUCCCAGAAAGCCGGUCUCAGUUCGGAUUGGGGUCUGCAACUCGACCCCAUGAAGUCGGAGUCGCUAGUAAUCGCAGAUCAGCAACGCUGCGGUGAAUACGUUCCCGGGCCUU